CAGGGUGUAGCUCAGUAGGUAGAGUGCCGGUUUUGGAAACCGGAGGUCGUGGGAUCGUGACCCACCACCCUGACCA
rnacentral:tRNA from 1 species